rnacentral:sRNA from 1 species
UGAAAUCAGUUUUUAUACUUUCUCUCUCUAAACUUUUCGCUCCUCAAUUCCUUAGUUCUUAAGCUUUUGCUGCAUGGUUAAUAUGGUAUCAAGAGCAUCAGGUUACUGUGAAUCCUGAGCUUGAAGGAGAAGAUUGACAAAGAGUUGGAGGUCGAAGUAUAUCUUUUCUGCAACGACGGCGAUCGUCGACGAUUACAUCCGAUGCCCAAUCUCAUCGCUGAAUGCAACUCUCCAUAGAAUCAACAGUAGAAAAGGUGAGACCACAGUCCAUAUUAUCUUGUAAAUAAUGCAAAAUCCUUUUCACUAAGGAAAAAUGCAUAAAUGUUGGAGUAGACAUAAACUGACAAGCAUAGUUGACUACAAAAGCUAUAUCUGGACGUGUAAAUGUAAGGUACUAUAAAGCACCUACAAGACUUCGAAAUAAAGUAGGAUCAGACAAAAAUGUGCCUUCUUCUUUCAGUAGCUGAGUAUGGGGCUUGCAGGGAGUGGAACAUGAUUUGCAGGAAUCCAUGGAUGCUUUAUGAAGCUGAGAACCAGUGAUGAUGAUGCCGUCCACAUAUAAAAGAAGAAUUACAACUUCAUUGUCAAGAGCUUUAACAAACAAAUUGGGAUUGGAUUCAGAGACAACAAACACCAAAUUAGGACAAGGCAACAAAGACAAUCCUACCGAGAGGAAGAAGUAAUGGGGGUUUGUACUACAUUCCAAAGCAGUUAUUCUUCAACUACAAUAAAUUGCUGUAACCUUCACCAACUGCCUUUCUUGGACAAGCAAUCAAGGCUUCAAUGUGGCAUCAUAGACUAGGGCAUCCUAGCAAUAAGAUUUUACAUAGUAUGCUCUCUCAAUCUCAGAUACCAUAUAAAACUUAUGUGAAUAAGAAUGUGUGUAGUUUUUGUUUGCAAAGAAAAAUGUCAAGACAAAUGUUUUUUUCCUAGUUCACAUGUUUCUGUAAAACCCUUUGAAAGAGUAAGUAGUGAUGUUUGAGGGCCAUCACCAGUUGUAUCAAUGGAAUGAUAAAUACUAUGUUAGCUUCAUUGAUGACUUUACA